rnacentral:lncRNA from 1 species
AGUGCCCUCAAUAUGAGGCAGUUAUGGAUAGAAAAGACACAUUUGCCCUCAGAAAAUGGAAGGGAAGCCAAAGGGGAAAGCAAGGAGAAGUGUUGAAAAUUUUUCUGACAUUGCAGCUGGCUCUCUUUUCUGUAGACAUCAUAGGAUGGAGCCUGGUUUUGUGGGGCCUUUAUUUUGAGACUGAAAAAUCAUGUGACAGCUGGUACCACUGCCUCUUCCCCUCACAUGCACACAUCUCCAGGAACCCAGGUGCUCUUUUUGGGGCCUCUUUUCUUUCUCAUCUCCCGUCUCUGUGAAACUUCCCCAAAAUCAGGUUUGUCACUGAUCCUAAAGUAUUCCUAGGGGAUUUUCUGUCCUACAAGGGGAGGGGGAGGGGAGGUUAACAGAUUGAAACAGAAGCCUUCCACCCUCCCACUCUAAAUCCCACCCACUCUUCAGAACUGACCCCAGGCUAAGCCUCUGAAAGCUGUUAGGCAGCUGUGAGGGUCGCAGCAGCAGGAUGUUCAGCAGAGAGAGAGAGCAGAUGGGGAAUUAUUUAUUAAUCUUGUUGUCUAUCCUUGCACUAGCGAUCAUGGAGAAAGCCCAUCUGGUGCUCACUCUUCCCCCCAACUCCCCCCCCCCCCGGAUGCUGUAUGCAGCACAGCAUCAAGCUCCUUAGAACCAGGCAGGCGCUGCCAUUCCUUUUCUGGCUUGCCUACCUACCCCUCUGCUUUUCUCUCUCUCUCUUUCUUUCCCCCCCCCCCCAAUCAUGUUUGGCCUGCUGCGGCUGCCAUGAUCCCAGUGAGUUUUUCUGCAUGGCCUGAUGCUUGUGCUCUGGGAUUCAGGUACCUUGGGUGUUUUUUGCCGUGACAAGCAUACACUUGAGUUGUGUGCCUUUCUGUGUCUGCAAACCUACACACUAUCCUACCUAAAAUAACCUGCUGAUUUGAAGUGGGAAAGCAACCAACCUGCCACCCUGUUACAAAAACCUGUUAUUGUUAAAAAAAAAUUUAAAAGUUGUUUUGCAUGAUUAUACCGUGGAACAGGAGAGAAGCCCUCACCGUGUAAUUGGUUUGUGUUCUGAAGCCUGGUGGAAAGACUCUUGAGAGGACGACAAAACCUAAUGUAAAUGUUCACAAAUUAUGCAUGCAUGUUAUGACCAGCUUGGAACUUGGUAUUGGCUAUCUCUCUAGCCAGCUGUGGGGUGAUGGGGGGGGUGGGGACGAGGGAGUUCUUUGUGCUCAGCUGAUUACUGCCAUGCACUGUACUGCACAUGUCCGCAACGCCUCAUAAGGACCGUUAACGCUUUUCGGGGGC